rnacentral:rRNA from 1 species
AAAUUGAAGAGUUUGAUCAUGGCUCAGAUUGAACGCUGGCGGCAGGCCUAACACAUGCAAGUCGAACGGUAACAGGAAGCAGCUUGCUGCUUUGCUGACGAGUGGCGGACGGGUGAGUAAUGUCUGGGAAACUGCCUGAUGGAGGGGGAUAACGUACUGGAAACGGUAGC